rnacentral:rRNA from 1 species
UACGUAGGGGGCAAGCGUUGUCCGGAUUUAUUGGGCGUAAAGAGCGUGUAGGCGGCCAAACAGGUCAGCUGUGAAAACUCGAGGCUCAACCUCGAGACGUCGGUUGAAACCGUUUGGCUAGAGUCCGGAAGAGGAGAGUGGAAUUCCCGGUGUAGCGGUGAAAUGCGCAGAUAUCGGGAAGAACACCCGUGGCGAAGGCGGCUCUCUGGGACGGUACUGACGCUGAGACACGAAAGCGUGGGUAGCAAACAGG